UACGUAGGGCGCAAGCGUUGUCCGGAUUUAUUGGGCGUAAAGAGCGUGUAGGCGGCUGGGUAGGUCCGUUGUGAAAACUCGAGGCUCAACCUCGAGACGCCGAUGGAAACCAUCUGGCUAGAGUCCGGAAGAGGAGAGUGGAAUUCCCGGUGUAGCGGUGAAAUGCGCAGAUAUCGGGAAGAACACCCGUGGCUAAGGCGGCUCUCUAGUACGGUACUGACGCUGAGACGCGAAAGCGUGGGGAGCGAACAGG
rnacentral:rRNA from 1 species